AUGGGCUGCAGAAUGCGGCGCUGCCAGGGGGCGACGCUGGCGGUGGUGCUUCUGCUGGCAGCAGAUGCAGGUGGAGCCGAGGUGCAGCAGGAGCUGUCGGCAGAGACAACCGAGGGCACCGGCAUCACCUUUAGCUGCUCACACCCCAACGCAAAUAUAUUCGACUUCAUCCACUGGUACUGGCAGCUCCCAGGCCGAGGUCCCACGUUCCUCGUUCGAGCUCUUUCAGGAUCCAAGGAGCUGCAGUCCCUGGCAGGACAGCUGUCGGUGGCAGCAAACCACCUGUCCAGCUCCCUGUGGCUCACCCGGCCCCGGCGCAGGGACAUGGCAGUGUAUUCCUGUGCCCUAGGAGACAUGGGGAGAGGAGCCGGGGCUGCACCCAUGCACGAACUGCCAUGGGUGGGGUGGGGCCGGCGGGGCACGCUCUAG